rnacentral:rRNA from 1 species
GACAGAGGGUGCAAACGUUGUUCGGAAUUACUGGGCGUAAAGCGCGUGUAGGCGGCUAAGUAAGUCGGGCGUGAAAUCCCACGGCUCAACCGUGGAAGUGCACUCGAAACUGCAUAGCUAGAGUCCUGGAGAGGAAGGUGGAAUGCUUGGUGUAGAGGUGAAAUUCGUAGAUAUCGAGAAGAACACCGGUGGCGAAGGCGGCCAUCUGGACGGUGACUGACGCUGAGACGCGAAAGCGUGGGGGAGCAAACAGG